rnacentral:rRNA from 1 species
GGCUGCAACUCGCCUGCAUGAAGUCGGAAUUGCUAGUAAUCGCGGAUCAGCAUGCCGCGGUGAAUACGGUUCCCGGGCCUUGUACACACCGCCCGUCACACCAUGGGAGUCGGUAACACCCGAAGCCGAUAGUCUAAACGAAAGAGGACGUCGUCGAAGGUGGGAUUGAUGACUGGGGUGAAGUCGUAACAAGGUACC